AAGAAGAAGUUAUCAUAAAACCAACAGAUACCUUGGUUUCGUUACGACGAACAAUGGAGGAACUUGGUUCAAUAUGUAAAAAAUAUAGUGUCGGAGAAUUAUACAUUCGAAUAAACGAUGUUACGAUUAGUUUUGUUGGCCAUUUGAAUGUAUCUAGACUAUUAGGAGAAAUAGUGCGAAUACUCUGUAAAUACAACAUGAAACGUAAGAACCACUGGGCUGUGGAUCGCCGCUCGAGAACCCCUAUCAAAUGAUGAUUUGCCUUCCCGUUUAAUAAAGUGCAAUCGGGAAUCGCACACACACUCUCUCCAAGCGACACGACAUCAUCGCGCAACAUCAUCGAUCGAUACAGAUCAGCAAACGCGGGAAGACCAAGCACACAUCGACCACGGCAGAGAAAAGCAUCAUCGGGAAACAAAACGAGAGCGCAAACCGAACACAACCAUCAUCCGCCGAUUGGAGGAGCGAGCCAGUCAUGCGAUCGGCCAGCCCAGCAGUGAGUUCGCGUCGUGGUGGUCUGAAGAGCAGAUCGUUUGCUCGCGGGUGCUUUUUUCCAGCCAAGUGAGGACGCCAAGCCGGUGUUGCUGGCAAAUAAUAAAUUUGGUCCAAAGUGCUUGAGAUUGGCAGUGCUAAAUUGUGGGACUGAAACGUGAUCCCACGUAUUAAUCACCAUUUGUGUGGAGAGGUUGGACGAACAAGCAACAGGUGAGCGUCAUGACGAUUAAUCCUCACAGCGGCAUGAUCAGCGACCAUUUUGUUUCCCUACUCAGGCUACCGGGAGACAAAGGCCGGCGUGGCUUCCACACGCGCUCGAAAUAGAAAGAUUCGAAGAAAGCCAUUACCUGCCGCAUCGGUCAACGACGAAAUAAGUUGGAAAGAAAAAACAGGUGAGCUGAAACCUUUAUGAUUUGCUCUGGAAUUGUUUCUAAAACCACCUUACAUGCAAACACAGACCACCUCACCGUGAAAAGCAAGAUCUGUCGAGAAGACACGUGGGGAAUAUCAUACUCCGUUCCGCUCAGGGAAGAUCAUCCGCAACGAGACAGAAUAGAGCAGGUGAGUUGAAAGCACUACAGACCCCGUGUGUUGUCCACACUAACAGCCGCCACUUUCAGCUUGUGUCAUCGUCGCGUUUGACCAAUUCGGUGAGACCAAGUGGGCCGAACAAAAGCAGCAGCAAGAAGAACAACCGCAAGACACCGAGGACAAAGAGAGCCCCUUUUAGGUUUUGCGUGGCAGCCAGAUCAUUACGCCGGGUUCGAAUCGGCAACACAGAGAGGAGAUCAGCGUGAUCGGAUCGGAGAAGCUAAGCGGCUGGAACCACUCCAGCUGGGUCGACGCAGCGAAGCGGACGUGGUCACAGCUUCCGCAACCGUAGUGAUCGUUGAGCCUGGUUUUGAGGAAAUCGAUUGGCGGUCCGCUGGUCCAAAGGAAGCCAUCAAGUCGGUCGGUCGGUCGGUCGAUGGAGAGAGGGCUUGCACGAGGGAGGAAGAAUCGGCCAGCGUCGAGACCGGAGGGGACGGCCACACCCAUGGUAACCGUGAGUCUAGUUUAAGAACGCAUUAUUAAGCUAAGUGUAGGCCAAGAGAUAGGAGCUUCGAAUAAGCGUAAUGAGAAAAGCGUAACGCACAAUACAAUGUUAAAAUUCAAGCUUUGUGCAUAAAUUUGAUUUGGCGUCUUAGCCCAAAGUGUUUGAGAUCCGAAUCCCUUUGCUCUAUGGUAGCUUCGCUCUACCGGGUCGGGAACUUGCAACAAC